rnacentral:tRNA from 1 species
GGCAAGAUGGCCGAGCGGUCUAAGGCGCUAGUUUUAGGCACUAGUUCGAAAGAGCGUGGGUUCGAAUCCCACUCUUGUCA